AACACCCCAAAAACGGGUUUGGUAAUUUAGACCCGGUUACUAUUAAGAAACGGGUAAGGUACCGUUAAUGAGAAAAGUUAACCUGAAAAAUGAGGAUUUACUAGGAAUAAUUAACCUAGUUGAUUAUUGGUCUCGUUAGUAGUAAGAGAAGAGUUGAAGCCUUAUUUAAUUAAAACGAAACAUGAGGGACCAAAGUGAACAACUUGAAAGUUGUUGUGUUAAAAGAAAAAAAACAACACACACAUACACACACAUCGUGUGUGUGUUCAUGAACGAGCAGGGAAAGCUCCCAUGGAGCCAAAACCCUAAACUUCAUCAAAAUCUCCAAAUUGAAAGGCUAAACGAAGCCCAAAUUCACAACCGAACAUGAAUUAACGAUCACCUCCACAAGGGGAUCAUAAGGUAUGUCUUAAAACUUAGAUUUGGUGAUCUUGUUUGAAGUGGGUUAUGAUCAAUCCAUGAAAUUGUAUGAAAUUAAGCAUGUAGAGGUGUUAGAAACACCAAAUAGAACUUGUGUUAUGAAUAAUUUCAAGUAAUUGGGUGAUUUAAAAUGAAACCCAUUGCAUGAGUGUGAAGAUGAUGAUCAUGAUGAACUUGAAGAUGUUAUAGUGUAAUCUUGUGUUGUAUAAGGUGUUGUAUGAUAGACUAAGAUAGUUAAACUUGAAGUGAAAUUUAUGAUUAUGAGAUUUUGUUUGAAUGUGAUAGUUCAUAAGAUGAAAUAAGGAAGAACAUGCUUAAAACACUUGUACAUUAUGCUUAGGAAGUAGUACGCACGCCAAGUGUUUGAUGAAAUGUCUAAAAGGCAAUAAUAAGUGAAAUUGUAUGCAAGUAAUGGGUAAACAUAUAUAGUUCAUGUGAAGAUUAUGUAGGGAUGAUGUCGAGUAUGCUUUAUGCUUGUUUAAAUGAAUUAAUGAUGUUGAGUAUGCUUUGUGUAGGUCGUGUGUUAGAUGUGAAUUUGAUAUGGUUGUUCAUAAGUAUAAGCAUAUAUGCUAAUAAGAAUGUGAAUGUAAUGACAUGAGUGUAUGGGAAUCAUGUCAAGAUGGAUGGGAGCGUUGAAGGCUAACGGGCUACGAAGACUCAAUCAAAUAAGCGAACGCAAAUACGGGCGCGCAAGGUUGUACAGAACGGUGGAUUCUCGUCAUGAAGUGAAAAAGGUUGAAGAUCGAGUCAAGAGAUGGAUUGUACAUGUGGGUGCAUGGUCACGAAAAUUAAUAGUAGUAUGUCCGAUUUUUAUAAAUUUUUAGAAAGCAUUAAUGUAUUUAAUGUAAAAGAGUGAUUUAAUGUAAUUCUAAGUAUGUUAGAAUGAAUAUGAUGAAAGAAAAUUUUUAAGUUCGUAAUUCCGCUGCAACUUUUGGUUAAAGCGUUUUAGGGCGUUACAAGUUGGUAUCAGAGCCUAGGUUUGAGUGAAAUCAAGUAUAAAUAAGUGAGUACUUGAACUCAAACCCGUGUGCUCUUGUGACUAAUGACCUGUACAAUCCGAGACUCGAUCAAGACCGAAAGGUAAGAUUUAAUAUAAGUAUGUAUGUGAGAGGUUACUAACAAUGAUGAAUAUUGAAAGGUGAGCUUGUUGGAAAAUGAGGACGUUCUGCAGCUGCGGGUUAGUAAGAAGGCUAUGGCGUGUGAUAUGUCAAAAAAAAAAAUGGACCCCAGGUACACAAAUUUUAAAUUUGG